UGGGGAAUAUUGCACAAUGGGGGAAACCCUGAUGCAGCGACGCCGCGUGAGCGAUGAAGGCUUUCGAGUCGUAAAGCUCUGUCCUAUGGGAAGAUAAUGACGGUACCAUAGAAGAAAGCCCCGGCUAAUUACGUGCCAGCAGCCGCGGUAAUACGUAAGGGGCGAGCGUUGUCCGGAAUUAUUGGGCGUAAAGAGUGCGUAGGCGGCAAAUUAAGUCAGAUGUGAAAACUAAGGGCUCAACCCAUAGAUUGCAUCUGAAACUGAUAUGCUUGAGUCAAGGAGAGGAAAGUGGAAUUCCUAGUGUAGCGGUGGAAUGCGUAGAUAUUAGGAGGAAUACCGGUGGCGAAGGCGGCUAUCUGGACAGUAACUGACGCUGAGGCGCGAAAGCGUGGGUAGCAAACAGG
rnacentral:rRNA from 1 species